rnacentral:ncRNA from 2 species
GCCGCUGAGGAGCGCUGCAUCAUCCCGCAUGGCAACAUGGCACGGCGGUGGCAGGCUCGGCGGACAUCUUCACACGUGGCCAGCAACUGAUGCAUGGGAUGUGUGGCAGAUCCUACAACGGCGCUCACCUGAA